CCCCCCUCGCGUCGCCGGGCGCACUUCCGUUUCGCCAUCUUUUAUCUCGGGGAAGCGUGUGCCGUUUCGCAUCCUGUUUCUAUCGCGUAGUUUUACGGACCACUGACUUGGUUCUUGUACGAGCCGCAAAAUGCCGGGUUUUAGCAGCGUUGGCACGUUUAAAAUCUUCAUUGGUAAUUUAGCCGACAAGACCUCGAACGCGGACAUAAAGCCACUGUUCGAGAAGUAUGGAAAAGUCGUGGAAUGCGACGUGGUAAAGAAUUAUGGCUUCGUGCAUAUGGAGAAUGAGGAAGCAGGCCGAAACGCGAUACAGAACCUGAAUGGACACAUGGUUCAUGGACAGCCAAUAAAAUGCGAGGCUGCAAAGAGUCGUAAGGGACCCAACACUCCCACGACCAAGAUCUUCGUGGGCAAUCUUACAGAUAACACCAAGGCGCCGCAGGUGCGCGAACUGUUCGCCAAGUACGGCACCGUCGUCGAGUGCGACAUCGUGAGGAACUACGGCUUCGUUCAUCUUGAAGCGACCGGCGACGUGAACGACGCCAUCAAGGAGCUGAACGGGCAAAUCGUGGACGGACAACCGAUGAAGGUCCAGAUCUCUACUAGUCGAGUGCGCCAGAGGCCAGGCAUGGGCGAUCCGGAACAAUGCUAUCGAUGCGGACGAGGCGGUCACUGGUCCAAGGAGUGUCCCAAGGGAGGAAUGGGAGGUGGACCAGAUAGAAACGGAUACAGGGACCGAAUGUUUGGACGUGAUCCAUAUCCUCCACCGCCGCCACCACCGUUCCUACGGGACCGGCUCAUGGGUGGUGGCCGCUUUGGGGAUUACGAUAGCUACUACGACAGGCGCGGCUUCGAGGACACCAGGGACCUCUACGAGAGGCGGUUUACGGGUAUGACAGGGCCCAGUGACAUGGGAUCUACCAUGUGCGGGCUAGACUUUCCACCAAUGACAAUGCCACCUCUACCACCAAGACGAGACCCAAUGCCUCCUAUGCCUCCUCUAGGUAUGGGAUCCAUGCGUGACACUGGCUUCUCCCGUGGAAACGAGUAUGGCAUGUUCAGCCGCCGAUCGCCCCCUCCAAGUGGCAACAACGGCCGGUUCAGUGCACCUCAGGCGUACCAUCUUUGUCCAUGAACGCGGGCAACCCUAGAGAGACAGUCCCGGGUCAGCGUUCAAGUCGUACAAGAUCAAACUUGCAGACUCGGAGGUUGAGCAGGUCUACAGAAUCGGACUUGGCUGGAGAUCGCUUUUCCACCCGACCGACCAACCGGCAAGGCAGAGGCGACCGGCCACGUUCUGUAGCUUAUACGCAGUCACCACUCCUCUUCCCCUCCCAAAGUUACUUUAAGAGACGUCGUUAAGGUCCUCGGAGAUAACCGAGCGAGCCUCUCUCAGAGUGACUUUGGAACACGAACGUGUAGAACCAGGCACGCUACUCGAUCAUCUCUCCAUACUGAGAUGUGGUGAGCAAACUGCUGAUCCGAUAAUACGUAGACUAUUCCGAAAAUCCGGGGAAAACAAAAUGAGAAAAGAUCGGCCGAUCUGUAUCCCUGUAAGGUUGACGCGUGAGAGGAGGUCGGACCUCCUCCCGUCGGCUCGGUCGCAAGAGUUGCGAGUUUGAUCGGUGCAUAGCGAGUACGUCGGACGCCGGUUAACUUUGGCUUCAACCGUACCGAUGCACGGAACCGUUUCAUCGAGUUCGGGCAAUCCCUGGCGCAUGAUCGUCGAGAACGUACACAAGAUGCCUCAGAACCAAUGGACCAUCCUGUAAUUCAAAGUUCAGUCAGUCGAAAAGUUCAGUCCAUUUGUUAAGACCUCAGAAAAUUAAUGUAUUUUAGAUUUGAGUAUAAGUUUUCAAGUUUCUUAAAAAGGGUGGAGAGAUUAUUUAACAUAUUUAAGUUCAGAAGUAUUAAAAAUUUCAAAUAAUGCUCUCCUAUAACUGGUUUUGAGACAGUCUUACCUCAUAUUCUAGCCCCUUCCUUCCUUUCUUUUUUUUUUCAAUUUUUUUUGGCGUUAUCCCUUCGCAACUGGCACCUGCUUAGGUGAACCCCCGACCCGCGAUACGUAGGCUUGACAUAGCUUGACGAGGCUCGUACGUUGAUGCGGGUACGCGGGGAAAAAGGAAUCUGCAAUACACCGAGUCGCGCGCGCAUGGCACACGCGUGCGGGAAAAAAAAGACUCGGGGAGCAUGGAGCCGUCACGCACACCGGGGAGCUUCGUCGGAUACGCGAUGUAUCGCUGUAUUGCAAGUAUACUCCCUCGAGGAUUACGGUAAUGUCGGUGCCGCCGGACUAGUCGUCGGAUAGCGAAGGUCUGCCGAUGGUCGGGAGUCUCGCUCUCGUAGCCCAUACGUGGACGUGCGAGAUUCCGGCUCGUCGUCGUCGUCAUCGCCGCCGCCGCCGCCGCCGUCGUCGUCGUCGUCGCCGUCGUCAGCUUCGUCGCCGCCCUCGUCGCAGUCGCCGCUGUCGUCGUCGUCGCCGUCGCCGUCAACGUCUAUAAUAAAGUCACGCAGCCCGAGUUGCAAAACGGUUCGGGACACGCUGGCCGCCGAGAAGCUCAACGAGAUGAGAAGUUCCGAGCCCAGUCUCUGUAGCUAGAUCGCUGAGAUUUCGGACACGCGCCGGCACAGACCCUCGCAGGCGCUUAGAGAGAUUAAAAAAAAACAUGUCCCUCUCGGCAGAGUUCUCACCUAGAGACACGUGGAGAUCGUGAAUCGCCGAUCGGAUUUUUGAAAGACACGGUCGGCGCAAGAACCCGAGAAAAAUGUACACAUGUAACGGAAAAAAAAUAAAUACGGACGCACGUCGUCGGGACACACGGGUUUACCCCCUUGAUCUCGCGUGAUAGAAAAACGAUCACACACGUAUCGGUCAUCGUCGGUUGCCGCCGAUUACCAAAAACGGAAAAAAAAACAAAGCGCAAAACCGAAA